UUGAAAGAUGGCUUCGGCUAUCACUUUUGGAUGGUCCCGCGGCGUAUUAGCUAGAUGGUGGGGUAACGGCUCACCAUGGCAAUGAUACGUAGCCGACCUGAGAGGGUAAUCGGCCACAUUGGGACUGAGACACGGCCCAAACUCCUACGGGAGGCAGCAGUAGGGAAUCUUCCACAAUGGACGAAAGUCUGAUGGAGCAACGCCGCGUGAGUGAAGAAGGGUUUCGGCUCGUAAAACUCUGUUGUUAAAGAAGAACAUAUCUGAGAGUAACUGUUCAGGUAUUGACGGUAUUUAACCAGAAAGCCACGGCUAACUACGUGCCAGCAGCCGCGGUAAUACGUAGGUGGCAAGCGUUGUCCGGAUUUAUUGGGCGUAAAGCGAGCGCAGGCGGUUUUUUAAGUCUGAUGUGAAAGCCUUCGGCUCAACCGAAGAAGUGCAUCGGAAACUGGGAAACUUGAGUGCAGAAGAGGACAGUGGAACUCCAUGUGUAGCGGUGAAAUGCGUAGAUAUAUGGAAGAACACCAGUGGCGAAGGCGGCUGUCUGGUCUGUAACUGACGCUGAGGCUCGAAAGUAUGGGUAGCAACAGGAUUAGAUACCCUGGUAGUCCAUACCGUA
rnacentral:rRNA from 2 species